GAUGAAGAACGUAGCGAAAUGCGAUACUUGGUGUGAAUUGCGGAAUCCCGUGAACCAUCGAGUCUUUGAACGCAAGUUGCGCCCGAAGCCAUUAGGCCGAGGGCACGCCUGCCUGGGCGUCACACGUCGUUGCCCCCCCAUCUACUCCUUCGGGAUUGCGGGGGGCGGAUGAUGGCCUCCCGUGCGCCUCGUCGCGCGGUUGGCAUAAAUACCAAGUCCUCGGCGACGCACGCCACGACAAUCGGUGGUUGCGAAACCUCGGUUGCCCGUCGUGUGCGGUCGUCGCGCAUCGAGGGCUCGAAAAAAUUGCCGGGCUCCGGCUCGGCUUUCAACGCGACCCCAGGUCAGGCGGGGUUACCCGCUGAAUUUAAGCAUAUCAAUAAGCGGAGGA
rnacentral:misc_RNA from 1 species